CGCCGCCCUGAAGCACAGCCCCAGCCCAGCCCUGCCGCCCUACAGCCCAUCCCCGCUCGACGCAACCACCCUUUCUGCCUCGCCCCGCCCCUCAUGCCACUCGCCGCCAUUCUGCCCGUCCCACCCCUCCCGCUGCUCGCCGUCACCGGAAUCGCCGAGAUGACUGGCCUCCAUGGCAAGCACGCCACCAGCGAACCCCGAAGAUCCAAGUGGCAGCCUGAGCGGUCCAGGCCCGACGCGAAGGUUACGGAGCCUCCGGCACGCCGGGCCAAGCGCGCCGAUGUCGUCCAUGCUCCUCCGCGCAAGCGCGGGUCUGCGAGGGUUGCGCGACCACCCCACCCCCUUGACAGCGAACUGGGCUCGGAAGACGCGAUUGCGGCGAUUCCUCCAGCACGUCGGGCGGAGGCGUUGCGGAGGGCUCCGUUCCGGCAGCGAGCGUCGCGCUAUCAUCUUCACCCCUUGACCAAGGUUGUCUCUUGAAUGAUGUCGCCAUGCCUCCUCCUCCUCCUCCGGCAGGCCGACGCCCCGGCUCCGCCCAAGCGCAAGGGGUCGUCUGCCUGGCCUGACAGCGCGUACCGGCUCCGCAACCGCCGAGUCCCGGAUAUCAGCAAACACGAGCCCACCCCUCCUCGGUCCUCUCUAUGUAUAUAUCCAGCCCCGCACCGCAAUCAAUUCCACAACUUUAUCUUCGCAAUGUGCGGAAUGCUUUGGAUUUUGGUUGAUGGGUGCUGAAUUUCUGGUGCACUGUGAUGUAUCCUGUAGGUAACUGUUGUAUCACUUCAGUAGCACCGUCUUCGUUGUGUGAAUUUUGGUCAGAUUGAUUUUACUACUGUGUUGACCACAUGAUGAAGCUUCAACCCCAUGACCAAUUGCCACUAGCUUUGUUGAAUAUACCAAUCUUAGCUUUGUAGCAAUUACUCCUGGAGAGUGCUGAGUGCAGACUCGUACAGUAGUAUAAGUGUGAGCUUAGUGUCAACUAUGCUAAUCAGGCUAGAAAACACCUUGCUCACAUGGAACAUCUGUACUGUUGAACAGCCGGUUUUCUUCAUACAUUCACAUGGUUAGAAGCUUGCGACGAAGGGCUUAGAACUGGCCGUGAGUGCUCGAGGUCUGCUCCUCCACAGCCAUGCCCCAGGAUGGGACCCCCCGUGUGCUCCCUGCUCUUGUGACGACGCGGUCAUUCUUACACUGGACCACUCCAGCCCCCACCACAUGUCUGCCUUCUCCGAUCUCACAGAGACCUGGACUGCCCUUACUUGGGCAUAGGAAAUGCCCAUAUGUUUUGUCGAAGUUACACGAGAGGCAUGCUAUUUAAAAUGGAUAAUUUCCAAAUUUUGGUGUAGCUCCAUUGGCCAGGACCUAACCAUAGAAGAAUGAACACUAAAUGAUGUCAAAUGAAGUACAUUGGUCAGUAUCUCCACAUAGUAAGUGUUAUUCUUGCUCCACUAGCUAGCUUACACAUCCACAUUGUCUGUCGACGGGUUCAUUGGCCGGUUAUACUAGAAGAUACCCCGCGCUGCAGCGGGAACUUUGAACAGAAACAUUUAAGUGAAAAACGACAAUUGUAUUAUAUGAUGUGAUAGCAAAUAAUGUACUGAAGUGCAAGCGCCAUGUAUGCAUAAUCAGUGCAUCAAAUGGGUUUUCAGCCAUUGAGAAUAAAUUCUCAAGUCUUCUGAAAAGAACCUGUGAUGAAAAACAAUUAAUCUUUCAUUUUCAUACAUUAGUUAGACAGCUUCAUUUCAUAACAUCAUGUUGAGCAUUAAGAUCUCCAUAGAAGACAUUCCAAUGUAGAACAUCAUCUUGACCAUUUAGAUCUCCAGUGAGAAUAAAUGAGUAUGUUACAUUUUUUGAUAUUCCGUAGAUGCAUAUGUAGAUGUUGGUUGUCAUUAAAUGGUCUUCCUGAAAUGCAGUCAGUAGCUUUCAAACUGGAACCCUCCUGUGACCAAAAUUGCUUAGUGUACCGAGUUCUCCUCCCCAAGUUUUGUCUAAUGUUGCAAGAAAUAUUAGAUGGAUACCGUAUGAGAAAAGAAAAAGGGAAAUACUAUCAGUGAGCAUUUGGAAAAUGGGAUUGACGCCUAAACCAAAACUUCAUUUGUUUAUUUAUUUCAUCUUAUUUUUAUUUAUUGAUGCCCCUCUACAAAUAUUACAAGGUAGUAGUGUUAUGUGUAGAGGGACAUUUCGGCACACAACUGGUGGUUCAACAAAUUUUGAAAAUAGGACAUUUUGGCACACAAUUAAUGACCUGUAAGUAGUGAGUGGAUUCACCGACAGAUGCAGUCCGUUAGAUCAGACACAAAGACAUGUUGCCAUAAUCCAAAUCAACGCUGAUUUUGUACUCAAGGAAACAAAUACGAUAGUAGAGCACACAUGAUUCUGCAGUGUCAAUAAGUGGGGAAUGCAGAGCAGACCACUAAGUGAUGAAACUCCAAGCAGUAAUAUGUGAAAUGAUACUUCAUCUACUACUCUACUACUGGAGUCUAUACUAUAAAAGGAGGAAGAAGCAGAUCCAAAUCACAAUCUUAGCUGCUAACGAUAUCAUCAAUGGUCUAAACAUCUUCGUUAACGAAAGUACAUCGCUAACGAAACGCCCAGCCCCGCAUCCACGUCCGAAACGCUGAGCCCCACUCCCAUGCCCCUGGUCCACCCAUAACCCAUGGUGCAUCACGCUCGAUCGGGUCAACCCCCACCUCCUGUUCCUAUGGAGAGCCGCCGCCGCUAACCGCGUUCCCCAUCUCACCCGCUACUCACACCUCACCUUGGUCACCGUCGGCCUCCCUCUCCAUUACGUCGACUCGGCCCCCAACUCCCGACGACAGACGCGCGGAGAGGAGCCAAACACAAGCCUUGGCUUGGACACGCGCGCGAGGCUUCGAUCGCUCCCAUGCAGGUGAGCCACCGUCGCGGAUGCACGAGGAGUGGUCGUCCCUUCCUCCGGGCACGCACGUGGUGUCGCCCACUGCGCCGCCCGACGCACCACGCACUUCGGCCAGAUUCGCCGCCGCCCCAUCGACCAGGUGUAAUGCUUUAUCUCGCCAGACCUCACUCACCGGACCUCCCACUGCGCAGGACGGCCCCGCCUCCUCUGCAACUUAAGGUUUGUCACUAUCAGCAAAAAAAUAUGCAACUUCUCUUAUCUCCGUGUGCUUCCAUGAUAAGAGUUGGUUCAAAUGGUAACCUCAUUGGCAUUAUGCUAUUUUUCCCUUAGAGCACAAACAAAAGAUUCAGAGGCUCAGGUUCGUGAUGCAUCUAUAGGUGAGAUUUUGAUUUUGUUCAACAUGAGUCAGUAUUGGUUUUGUCCUAUUGUUCGCUUCUUAUUUUGCACCACCCAUUAUCAUUAUCACGGUUUGUUGCACAACAUGGUGGCUGAGCAUGCUUGGAAUGGCGUGCUGAUAGCAAGGAAUUCGGGUGUCGCCUCUCUCUUUCUCCGUUGAUAAGACAUGGUUAUAGACAUGCACUGCAUACUAGAAUGCUAAAACUGAAGAUCAAGACAAGCCUUAUGUCCAUACACCAAUAAAGGAUAGUUAAGAGAAAUGCUAUUACUCGACACUCAUGAAACACUAUAUAUGGUGCCCAUGCAUUCUCCUUGCACGUGAUCUAUGUUACAACCUAGCAAUGUUAUCUCUUUUGAGCUGUAGGAAUUAAAUUAAGGCUCCAGUGUUCCCGUUGUGUGUAUACAAGGGCACUAUCCCAUUUAUCAUGCUCCUUCUGUUUUUGUAUAUACAAGGCCAUCAAUUUUGUUGUUAAUUGAACACCUGUUUUGGUUGUGAUGAUCGAUCGGCCUAUAAGAGCCAAUUUAGUUUCCUGUGAACUGGAGCCUCCUAUGUUUCAUGAUUAUCUUAAGAGCUUCCUAUUUUUCAUGAUUAUAUUAAAAUAAUUGUAGUUGAUAAACAUCACUCUUUCUCCUAUAUUUUGCUUGUGUAAGUAAUCUGGGUUGAGCGUACUUGAGGUCUUCCAUCACUUUUAUUACUUCAACAGAAAUUGUGCACAUUGUAUGAACUAACCAUUAAUGGGCAGCUGAUAUAUAUGAUGCAUGGUUGAUAAUAGCUACUUCAGGUUAUCCCGUCUGCUAUAUUUUUUGUACUCAACUACUUUUGUGAGAUCUAAACUGGAAGAGAAAAAUAGACCGAGAUAUUUGGUUCUUACCUAGAGAUGUAGUGAGGACUUCCGUAUUGAUUAGUCAUUUGAAGAGUUAACUAGAAAGUAUUUAGUAUAUCUUCAGCUAUGUUGCCAUGGGCUGUGCACAUGAUUCACAAACAAAUAAACAACAUUUUGCAUUGUUUUUUACAUGUGUGAAGCAUGUACAACAAAUUUGCUAUUAUGGACUAAAAACAAUCACUAGCUAGCUGAAUCAGCGGACACUCUAUGGGAAGGUGAACAAGCAUGCUAAUAACACGAAGUAGAGUAAUUUAAGAUAUUUUGAGAAUUCAUUGCAGUGGACUAUAUUAUGAUUCGAUUUUCUUAACCUUGGCAGAUUCUGACUAUUUAACGAUUCAAUAUUCUCUACUGAUGAUUUGUGUCUAUAAGUAUUUUUGCAUCAUGUGACCAGGUUCCUUUUUUUCAAGGUAAAUGUUAGAGAUUAGAAUCUUGUUACCGAAUUCAAGGCAAAGUUUCGUUACUAUAUUUGUAUGUGAGCUCUGAGAUAGACUAAUGUACUGCUAUCCGUAAAUGUGAGGUAAGAUUGGUGAUAUUUUUUGGCUUUUGACUAAUGCUUUCUUGAGAGUACCUUCCUGUUGAUUUUUUUUACUAUGUUAGUAGUACAAUGUUCAGAGGAGUAAAGUCAAAUGCCACAACAUGCUUAUAAUCUCAUAGACUGGUUCCUUCCCACUAUUGCAGUUGUCCCGGUUUCUUAUAUAUAGAAUAUGAUUUUGAAGCUUGACACAGAAAAAUAUCUACUGUAAUGUAGAUUACAUCACAUAUUAAACAACUUUUGGAGGCAAAGUACCGAGAGAAAUGUAGCGAGCUCUAUACGAGUAAAGUUAUGUAAGCGUUUUUUGUAAGUCUGUAUAUACACCUUUCUAUGCAUUCACUUGUUGUACUUCAGGAUUCAUCUACACUAUUUUAUGGAUAUUUUAUUAUCAAUUUAUUCUUUAUUCAUGAAUUGUCUUGCAAAUUUUUGAAGUGGUAAUGGCACAAUCAGUGAUGAUCGUGCAUGUGAGGUUGCAACCUUGGUCAUGUAGUGACUUAAUUUAUCGGCCUCUUAUAGUAACACUUCAUUUUUUGCAUGAUAUGAAUCAUGAAAAUAUUAUAGCACCAAGGCACGUGCCUAAUUAGUGGAUGUAAUAAUCGAUAUAUAGAUUCUUUGUCCUUACCUAACUAGCUUUACAAAAAAAUCUGCAAGAGGUCUUGUAGUCUCCUACAUAAUCUAGCUUGCACUCAGUAUUGUAGUAUUAUUAAGAGGGUUCACAUAUACGUCCAGUCUUCAACAAGUGGAUGAAUUGUAAUAAGUAAUACGGUGUACAUAAUGUAUACUCUAGAUUUUAUUUUUGACUAAAUACGUGCGUUGCAUGUACAUGGUUACUAGUUUCAAGAAAGGCAAGAGCAAGAAGGAAAACUUCAAGAAUGGCAAGAAAGUUGUUGUUCCAAUGCAGAAACCCAAGGUUGGACCCAAACCAGAGACCGAGUGCUUCUGUUGUGAGGGGAACACUUACUGAAAGCGGAACUUGCCUAGAUACUUGGUAGAUAAGAAGGCUGGCAAUGUCAACAAGACUAUAUUUGAUAUACAUGUUAUUGACGUGUGCCUUGCUAGUGUUCAUUGUAGACCCUGGUUAUUUGAUACUGGCUCAGUUGCUAAUAUUAGUAACUCGAAAUAGUAGUUGUGAGAUAAACGAAUACUAGAUAAGGGCAAGGUGAUGAUGUGUGUUGGAAGUGUUUUCAAGGUUGGUGUGAUCACCGUCACACACUCCGUCUACCUUCGGGAUUAGUGGUAAACCUAAAUAAAUGUUAUUUGGUGUCUGCGUGGAGCAUCAACAUUAUAUUGGUUUUGUUUAUUGCGAGAUGAUUGUUCAUGUAAGUUAGAGAAAAAUGGGUUAUUCUAUUUACACGAAUAAUAUCUUUUAUGAUCA